rnacentral:rRNA from 1 species
AGAGUUUGAUCCUGGCUCAGGACGAACGCUGGCGGCGUGCUUAACACAUGCAAGUCGAACGAUGAACCACUUCGGUGGGGAUUAGUGGCGAACGGGUGAGUAACACGUGGGCAAUCUGCCCUGCACUCUGGGACAAGCCCUGGAAACGGGGUCUAAUACCGGAUACUGACCCGCUUGGGCAUCCAAGCGGUUCGAAAGCUCCGGCGGUGCAGGAUGAGCCCGCGGCCUAUCAGCUUGUUGGUGAGGUAAUGGCUCACCAAGGCGACGACGGGUAGCCGGCCUGAGAGGGCGACCGGCCACACUGGGACUGAGACACGGCCCAGACUCCUACGGGAGGCAGCAGUGGGGAAUAUUGCACAAUGGGCGCAAGCCUGAUGCAGCGACGCCGCGUGAGGGAUGACGGCCUUCGGGUUGUAAACCUCUUUCAGUAGGGAAGAAGCCUUUCGGGGUGACGGUACCUGCAGAAGAAGCGCCGGCUAACUACGUGCCAGCAGCCGCGGUAAUACGUAGGGCGCAAGCGUUGUCCGGAAUUAUUGGGCGUAAAGAGCUCGUAGGCGGUUUGUCGCGUCUGCUGUGAAAACGCGAGGCUUAACCUCGCGCCUGCAGUGGGUACGGGCAGACUAGAGUGCGGUAGGGGAGACUGGAAUUCCUGGUGUAGCGGUGGAAUGCGCAGAUAUCAGGAGGAACACCGGUGGCGAAGGCGGGUCUCUGGGCCGUUACUGACGCUGAGGAGCGAAAGCAUGGGGAGCGAACAGGAUUAGAUACCCUGGUAGUCCAUGCCGU